GGAUGAUCCUGAUCCAGGUGACUUGUGUUCUUAAUUUUCUCCUCUGCACAUAAAGGGUCAGGCUCAAUCCAUGUUAUGCAGUCAGCAGUUAUUAGAUGUUGAAAUUAUCUAAUACAUGAUAUUCACAUAUUGAAAUACUGCUAAAAUCAAAAUACUAGCACGAAGACACAUGCAUAUCCUUUUAUAAACGUAUUGGAUGAAAUAUGUAUAUUUCCUGCAGGUUCCAGCCAGAGAUAUGCAAAAAGCUUGUAAUGAAACUGCAAGCCAAGUGAAAACAGAGCAACAAGAUAUUGCAUGUAGUAGAGAGUGGCUCCUGCUUCAAGUAGAAGAAAAAGAAGAGAGGGCAACCUCCUGGAAGCAGAUUGGGUCUUGUAUGCUGAGGGAACCCAAAGGAAGCAUCUUCAUGCUCAGUUGUGUUACUGCUGCCAUGUAG
rnacentral:lncRNA from 1 species